GCGCGGUUAGCUCAGUGGUAGAGCACUGCCUUCACACGGCAGGGGUCGCUGGUUCGAACCCAGCACCGCGCACCA
rnacentral:tRNA from 1 species